rnacentral:antisense_RNA from 1 species
AGGGAUCAUUGAUCAUUGCCUGUGAAUAAAUAAUCUUUGUGGACAAGGUGCCUUUUUCCAUAAUUUUUUCUUAUAACCAGCCCUUCUCAUCCAAAGGCCACAAUGAAGUCGAAGAAACCUAUAGAUGACAGCUUUCACAAUCCUUCUCUUGCCUUUUCCUGUACUGACGUAUGAUAGAGAUCUGCCUGGCAGCUUCAAGACACUUGGAAGCAAGAGGGCCACUCUAUUAAGGAUCGCUGAAGUAUGCCCACAUGUCAGGUUUCUCUCAGAUGUG